CAUAAAUCCUUUAUUAGUCCCACAGCGUGGACAUUUAUCUCGUCACAACAAAAGAACAUAUGAACUAAAAAGGCAGUACACAAUAAUUAAAUAGAAUAAAAGAUAAUAUAAGUACCAAGUGGUAUAAAUAAAGUGAGUAUUGCACAGCAGUGGUGGAACAGUGUGUUCUUGGUGUGGGGGUCUACCUCUCUAUCUCGCCAUGUUUGUUUGUUCCGCUCUGCAGAGAGCUGCUUGUUGGGACAAACUCCGCCGAAGAGCGUUAACUUUAUCCAAAGUUUGAAAUAUUGCCGUCUAGUUCAUUUUUCUAGUGGAUUUGUUUUGCGUGGCGUUUCAUGAAUUACCUCGAGGGCCGGAUCAAAUGGCCGGAGGUUCCCCACCCCUGUUUUAGACCAUGUAAGGAAGGAGUUUGAAUCAGCGGGCAGGGCUUCAUUUCCUUCUUUCUGUUUCAUCUACUCACAACUUACAAUGGAGGCUGAACGGAGAGUGGAAACAGUUGUGAGAGAUGCCGAGCCUUUCAGAACGAAUGCUUUCCUGAUUAUCGAUCAAAUGCUGGAGCUGUUUGACCCCGGGAGAGAUCUUCAUACACUGUUAGUGGAUGAGAUUCUUCACAGCAUCUUCUUUUUGGGAAAUAUCCACGUUCCACCAUUUUCACCACAAAGAAUUCUUGGUGAAGAAAUGUUUAAUGGAUUGAGGGAAACCUUCCCUCGGCCUUUUAAACUCUAUUCCUCUCAAGUGCCGAAGCGGAGUCCAUUCUCAUGUCUGCUGGACAUGAUUGUCGACCUGAAGGGACAAGAGAAUGAACAAGAAAUAAUAGCGAUGCUUCAAAACUUCAUCUCUAAAAUACAGCAGGGACGUAAUUCAAAGCCUCUGGUCUCCUCCACCAUCUGUGUCUCUCAGAGCACCGAUAUCAGGUACUACGGGGUCUCCAUGUCCACUUCUGGCCGUAUUCCUGGAAAAAUCAUGGUUUCUGCGUCCUGUUUUAGCAGCUGGGACGAAUAUGUAGCUGGUGCAGUGAUCACCUACCAUCCAGCGAAGGACAAGAAGACAUAUUUUGAUGGAACCAUCAUACUUCCAGAGACAGUCAGGUGCCAGGCGUUUAGCCUCCUCAGGGGAGGAAGCAUUAUGCCUCCUUGCAGAUCAUGUGAGAAUUUGUUUGGUUUGACAACAGAUGAUACACAGGAGUGGGGCUAUGGCAACUGUGCUGAAGCUGAAAGUGUGAGCAACUUGUUUAAAAAAGUUCAAGAAGUAAGAGAGGAAGCACGACCAACAUCAACGACGUGCACACCUGAGAACAGGAUGAAGGCUGAGGAAGCAGUCAAGAGAGAUCUCAAGAAUUUGCUGAAAGAGAAGAAAUUUAAUUGGGAUAAUAAUUUCUACACCCCAGAGAGAGUCUAAUCCUAAAAAGGGAAAUGAUUGAAUAUUAAAUAUUGAUAGGUGCAAUUCUUUUGGUCCUUAAUUGUAGAGUGACCAGAUAGAUCUCUUUUGAUAUUUUUCUUUAUCAGUCACACCUUCAUAUAAACUUCACUGUAACACUCUGGGCUGUGACAUUCCUACUUUUUAGUUGUACGUGGAGUUCAUGUGAUCAGAGCUGUCAAUAUAUCAGGCUUCAUCUUAGCUCCUUGUGAUGUGUAACAAUGAAGAUAUUAAUGCAUUCAUGGAAAAUAUUAUUAAGCCAAAUGUGUGUCAACUGAUUGAAUGAAGCAUGCAGAGGUUGAUGUGUUCGUGUAAUUUUUUGUAUUGAUUGUAUCUGCAGCAACCUCAUCUAAAGAGUUACCUGUCAGUUGUAGAUUGUAAGAUUUCACAGAUCACUUUUAAAGUCAAGACCCCUCUGGACCCCCCCUGCCUGAGGCCCUGAGGUUUGCAGAAUCAGUGACAUCUUUUAAAUCAGUUCUCAAAACGUAUCUUAAAAAAAAAAGAAGCCUUAUUAUCGAUUUUAGCACACUGUUUUAUUUGCCUGAUUUUAUUUCCCUAUGUCCUGUAAUGUUUUUAAUCUUGAAAUGUGUUUAAUCCUGGUUCAACCAUGUAAAGCACUUUGUAACUUUGUUUUGAAAAGCGCUUUAUAAAUAAAGGUUAUUAUUAUCAUUACUAUAAAUGAGUGUUUCUUUACCAGUGUAUACAACUUGACAUAUAUGAUGUGAAGCUUGAGUAUCUUAAACAGAAGAAGGCUGACAACAUGUUUACAUUUAAUUGCACAUCUUUAACAAUAAGACCAACAACAAACCACAGCUAACUUUAAGGACGUCAGAGGCAGC
rnacentral:lncRNA from 1 species